rnacentral:rRNA from 1 species
UACCAGCACCCCGAGUGGUCGGGACGAUUAUUGGGCCUAAAGCAUCCGUAGCCGGUUCUGCAAGUCUUCCGUUAAAUCCAGCUGCUCAACAGAUGGGCCGCGGAGGAUACUACAGAGCUAGGAGGCAGGAGAGGCAAGCGGUACUCAGUGGGUAGGGGUAAAAUCCGUUGAUCCAUUGAAGACCACCAGUGGCGAAGGCGGCUUGCCAGAAUGCGCUCGACGGUGAGGGAUGAAAGCUGGGGGAGCAAACCGG